UCAGAUUGAACGCUGGCGGCAGGCCUAACACAUGCAAGUCGAGCGGAUGACGGGAGCUUGCUCCCUGAUUUAGCGGCGGACGGGUGAGUAAUGCCUAGGAAUCUGCCUGGUAGUGGGGGAUAACGUUCCGAAAGGAACGCUAAUACCGCAUACGUCCUACGGGAGAAAGCAGGGGACCUUCGGGCCUUGCGCUAUCAGAUGAGCCUAGGUCGGAUUAGCUAGUUGGUGAGGUAAUGGCUCACCAAGGCGACGAUCCGUAACUGGUCUGAGAGGAUGAUCAGUCACACUGGAACUGAGACACGGUCCAGACUCCUACGGGAGGCAGCAGUGGGGAAUAUUGGACAAUGGGCGAAAGCCUGAUCCAGCCAUGCCGCGUGUGUGAAGAAGGUCUUCGGAUUGUAAAGCACUUUAAGUUGGGAGGAAGGGCAGUAAGUUAAUACCUUGCUGUUUUGACGUUACCGACAGAAUAAGCACCGGCUAACUUCGUGCCAGCAGCCGCGGUAAUACGAAGGGUGCAAGCGUUAAUCGGAAUUACUGGGCGUAAAGCGCGCGUAGGUGGUUCGUUAAGUUGGAUGUGAAAGCCCCGGGCUCAACCUGGGAACUGCAUCCAAAACUGGCGAGCUAGAGUACGGUAGAGGGUGGUGGAAUUUCCUGUGUAGCGGUGAAAUGCGUAGAUAUAGGAAGGAACACCAGUGGCGAAGGCGACCACCUGGACUGAUACUGACACUGAGGUGCGAAAGCGUGGGGAGCAAACAGGAUUAGAUACCCUGGUAGUCCACGCCGUAAACGAUGUCAACUAGCCGUUGGAAUCCUUGAGAUUUUAGUGGCGCAGCUAACGCAUUAAGUUGACCGCCCGGGAGA
rnacentral:rRNA from 1 species